CAGGGGCAGCAACCCAACAACAGGUUAUCCGAUUUAUCUGAAAAUUUCAAGGCAGAUAGAUCUUGACCUGUUACACAAUUUUACCCCCUGUCAGAUUUGCUCUAAAUGCUUUGGUUUUUGAGUUAUAAGCCCAAAACUGCAUUUUACCCCUAUGUUCUAUUUUUAGCCAUGGCGGCCAUCUUGGAUGGUUGGCCGGGUCACCGGACACAUUUUUUAAACAAGAUACCCCAAUGAUGAUUUUGGCCAAGUUUGGUGUAAUUUGGCCAAGUAGUUUCAGAGGAGAAGAUGUAAAAGAUUACUAAGAUUUACGAAAAAUGGUUAAAAAUUGACUAUUAAGGGCAAUAACUCCUAAAGGGGUCAACUGACCAUUUCGGUCAUCUUGACUUAUUUGUAAAUC
rnacentral:lncRNA from 1 species